rnacentral:rRNA from 1 species
AUUGAACGCUGGCGGCAGGCCUAACACAUGCAAGUCGAGCGGCAGCACGGGGGCUGCUCCUGGAUGGCGAGGGGGACGCGGGAGUGUGGCACAUGAAUAUGCCUGGUAGUGGGGGAUAACGUCCGGAAACGGGCGCGUUUACAGCAUACGCCAUGAGGGGGAAAAAGGGGGAGAUUGGCACCCCACGCUCUCGGAUGAGCCUAGGUCGGAUUAGCUAGUUGGUGGGGUAAAGGCCUACCAAGGCGACGAUCCGUAGCUGGUCUGAGAGGAUGAGCAGCCACACUGGAACUGAGACACGGUCCAGACUCCUAAGGGAGGCAGCAGUGGGGAAUUUUGGACAAUGGGCGAAAGCCUGAUCCAGCCAUGCCGCGUGUGUGAAGAAGGCCUUCGGAUUGUAAAGCACUUUUAGUCGGGAGGAAGGCCAGGAACUUAAUACGUUCCUGUGUUGACGUUACCGGCAGAAUAAGCACCGGCUAACUUCGUG